UUAUCCUUCUCACUAACCCUCAAUCACUCUCAUUUAUUGCGAUCCUCUCAUCCCUUUCUUCUCCAUUGUUGUGGAUCAUUGUGCUGCUCGUCGAACCAGGUGGUGGAGCCAGCUUCUGCUCGGUGGUCCAACAACCAGAAGAGGACCUCCGGUGGUGGACCAGCAAGGAAAAAAAAGGCUUUCUUUGUUUGUGGUGGAAAAAGCUAAGUGAAAAGUUGAAGAGGUGAUUUGUGGUGGUAUAUUAUACUGUCAAAAGGUGGUGCAAAGAGGGCAGCUGGGACGCUAGUAUUACUAGCUUUUUGCGGUGUAACGCUAGAAUGACUCGCAUCCUGACUCAGGACGAGAGUUAUACUGGCGUCUUCAUGGCUUCUUCAUGCUGCAAUCUCCACAUAAGUACAAUUCAUACCAUUUUGAUAUUCUUCCCUCUUAAUUAGCUCAACAUCUAAAGCUAUCUAUGAUGGGAUCAGUGCUCUAAUUUUCUGCGGAUAUAUUAUUUAUGGCACUGACAACCUCAUCAAGCGCUACUCAUAAUGAUGAAUAUAUUUUGGCCUCUGCUGCUCUCUACCAGGACAUUCUCAAUCUGUUCUUUUCCAUUUUGCGGGUUCUGAGUCAAAGAUUAGUUUGUACGGGAUAAUCUUAGCAGCCUGGGUUGGCAUGCUAGCUAUAUCUUCAUAAAAACUAAACUAAAUCCAGUUAACAUUGUGGAUGGUUGAUAAUCUGUUAAAUUUACUCUACUAGUGGCGAGAGGAUUGUUGAUUCAUGCAGAAUCCUAAUGUCCUGCAUUUACGUACGCCUUGAUC